AUGGUGUCCUUUGCCUUCCUUCACCACCAAGGAGGGUGGCCCAGUGGCAGCUCAGCCCCUGCUCUUACCCCACCUCCUUUGCACAUGCCAGCCCUGUGUCCUCAGCACCCAGGGCUGCCAGAGGGCCUUCAGCAGCUCCCACGGCUGACAGUGACUCUGUGUUUCCUAGAUUUCAAAAAGGAAGUGGCAGGAAUGUUUGGUGUGAUGAGCCCAGAAGCUGCCAUAGCUCUUUAUUGGAAAACCUCUAAAAGGGAUGAUACUCACAGAAGCACCAGAGGUGUGUUCUUGGAGGAAAUAAGCUUGGAAGGACUCAGGAAGAAGGGACAGAAUGCAACCUGGUGGAAAAGUUCUCGUACCAAUCCUCAGUUGAGGACGAGCCACCACAGGGGAAGCUUGAUUCCGUGCUUGGGGCAGAAUCACUUCACUGCCAAGUCACAGGACCUUGAGAGGGAAUAUCCUGCGAGAACGACGUUAGCGCAGAGGAACCCUCCAAGGAAAAAGGUGUGUAUUCUGGGAGCGCUCCUCCGCUCAGGAAAGAUCUUGAGUGUGGCAACAGGUGGCACUUACUCUCCUGCUUUUGCUGGAGGGCCGCUUUGGUUUGAGCUUCCUGACAGAAAGGAGAUAGGGGCAGUUUGGUUUAAAAAACGCUGUCCAUCCAGUAAAGAACCGUGACCAUCCCCUCGAGUCCCUGGAGGCAGAAUUGCCAUUUAGAUGGAAUAGGGUGGUGUGCCUCAGGGAGAUGAGGUAUGGAGGAGACAGCCGUG
rnacentral:lncRNA from 13 species